UGAGAGACGGAGGGAAAGGGAGAGUGUGGGGGGAUACAGAGAGGGUAAUGAAUAGUAAGAGGUGUGGGGGUAAAAGUGUCUGUUUCCACAACACAUAAAAAGAUGUGAGUCUCGUAAACUACACGUGUCAUAGGUGCUUUGAAGGGAACCUCUCCCUGUGUGUGUGUGUGCGCGCUGCCUGGGUGUAAUGAUCGUCUUGCCCUCCGAGGCGAUCACAAGGGCAGGCCUGAGCCAAAUGCUUCUCACACCUAUAAGCCAGUGAAACUUGUGAUGUUUUGUGCCUGUUUGUGUGUCACAGCCAGAAAUGAACGCACUCUCCCACCGCCACCGUGGAGAUUUGAACCUUGUGUGUGGUUGAAUUUGAUAGCCUUAUUUACUCUCGGAAUCAUUUAGGCUCUUGUGUACACGGGUGUUUUUAGAGUUGUAUUUCCUGUUUUUGUCAUGUUAGAGCAAACCGGCAGCUUUGUUUGGAGACGAGCUUGGUCUGUUUGAACAUGUUUACAUGGGGGUGAUCCCACAGUGGUAGGGGUGGAGGACACACACAGAGGCAGGCGCAGAGAGGGAGAGGCAGGCGCAGAGAGGGAGAGGCAGGCGCAGAGAGGGAGAGGCAGGCGCAGAGAGGGAGAGGCAGGCGCAGAGAGGGAGAGGCAGGCGCGCAGAGAGGGAGAAGGGCAGGCGCGCAGAGAGGGAGAAGGGCAGGCGCGCAGAGAGGGAGAAGGGCAGGCGCGCAGAGAGGGAGAAGGGCAGGCGCAGAGAGGGAGAAGGGCAGGCGCAGAGAGGGAGAAGGGCAGGCGCGCAGAGGGAGAAGGGCAGGCGCGCAGAGAGGGAGAAGGGCAGAGAGGGGC
ensembl:lncRNA